CCUACGGGAGGCAGCAGUGGGGAAUUUUGGACAAUGGGCGCAAGCCUGAUCCAGCAAUGCCGCGUGAGUGAAGAAGGCCUUCGGGUUGUAAAGCUCUUUUGUCAGGGAAGAAACGGUGAAGGCUAAUAUCUUUUGCUAAUGACGGUACCUGAAGAAUAAGCACCGGCUAACUACGUGCCAGCAGCCGCGGUAAUACGUAGGGUGCAAGCGUUAAUCGGAAUUACUGGGCGUAAAGCGUGCGCAGGCGGUUUUGUAAGUUUGUCGUGAAAUCCCCGGGCUCAACCUGGGAAUGGCGAUGAAGACUGCAAGGCUAGAAUCUGGCAGAGGGGGGUUAGAAUUCCACGUGUAGCAGUGAAAUGCGUAGAGAUGUGGAGGAACACCGAUGGCGAAGGCAGCCCCCUGGGUCAAGAUUGACGCUCAUGCACGAAAGCGUGGGGAGCAAACAGGAUUAGAUACCCUGGUAGUCCACGCCCUAAACGAUGUCUACUAGUUGUACGGUUUUAAUUAACUUGGUAACGCAGCUAACGCGUGAAGUAGACCGCCGUGGGGAGGUACGGUACGGCGAGUAAGUUAAACGUUAAAGUUAAGUUAAGUUAGUUACGGUUACGUGAGACGUUAGCGACGGACGACGACGAGGGAGGAGG
rnacentral:rRNA from 1 species